rnacentral:pre_miRNA from 1 species
AAAAAGACAAACCCUGAUUUCCGUGCCCAACGUUUGACCGUCCGUCUUAUUUGAAAAAAUUAUGAAAAAAAUUAAAAAGACAAGUCACGCACAAAGUAUUAAUCAUGUUUUAUCAUCUAACAACAAUAAAAAUACGAAUUAUAAAAAAAUUUCAUAUAAGACGGACAGUCAAAGUUGGACACGGAAACCCAGGUUUUUUUUUUUU